GCUCUGGUGGCCUAGUGGUUAGAGCGUCCUCCUCAUAUGCGGGAGGUCGUGGGUUCGAUCCCGGACCAAGACA